AAAGUAACACAAGACUCAGCUGCUUUCUGAUAUCCCUUAGUACACACUCUGGUAAACAACUUUACCUCAGCUGUCUGGAGUUUUCCUUAGAACCUGUAAUAUGCAAUCGCCCUGGAGUGCAGCCUUUCUCCUUUGUGCUCACAGAGGAGGCCAAUCAGACCUCAGUUCUCCUCUGGUCUCCGACAAGAAUCCACAUUGUGGAUUUGCAGAGAGGUACCAUGAAGUAGCCGUCCAGUGGUUCUGUUUUAGAACCCGGGGUUCAGGCAGAGGAAGAGGACCACACCUUGCCUGAUGAAGAGGUGCCAAUUGUGUGGCAUUUUCCCAUGUUGGAAGAAGAUCCCGGCCCCAGACUUCCUAUGUGCUGAAUGCCGGUCCUACCUUGGGCUGAUGACAUGCAAAGCAAACUCCAGUGGGAUUUCUUGACAGAGCCUUAUCUUGGGAAGGAGAAGCCAUCCAGAGGUCCUUUGCGGGAUUCUUUCUAAAGCACAUUUGCUUGCUCUGCCGUCUUGCCUGAGUGAAGAACCGCCAUCGUGAACAGAAUUGAAUUCCUGGAGGAGGGCGGCUGGCUCCAGUUCCGCCAGGUCUGGAGAGCAACGCUGAGACCAGCAGGUGGAGACCGUGGGGAGCCUAACAUCCUAAUGUCAGCUCGCCUCGGGGAGCACUUUCCCCCAUGGGAAGCUCACCAAGAACAGAAAUACCAGCUUGCCUUGGGAGGUCACGAUCGCUACUCUCCGUCAACCAGCAUCAGCAAGUCACUCAACCUCCUGAGUUUUGCAUUCCUCACACACAGAAUGGAGCCAGGGAUUCCUACCUUGCAGUGUGGCAGGUGUUGUGUCAGAGAAUGCUCGGACUGCCCCUUGCCAGGUCAAGUGAAGAGACAACUUGUGGAAAUGUGGUGACUCCCCACAGAUGGCUGCCCCUAUGUCCCUCCUCUGGAAGAGUUCUGCUGCCUGUCCUUUACAGGAGCUCCAUGGCACCUCCAGCUUGCAGAACUUCAAAUGACAGUGUAACCCUGAGCUCUGUGCUCAUUGAGAGAGGAGUAAAAUCCUGGAUUCUUGCCUCCCUGCAGCCCAGGGACUGCCUGUGUGUUUCUAUUUCAUGCUGGUAGGAUGAGGCUAAUUUCGACUUCCUAGUGGCUAGGAUUCCAAGUGGAUAACCAGAAGCAGCAAGCAACAGGAUUGGAACCUGCUGGUGCAGUUAGAAAUAAAUUGCUUGUGCCUGGAUUUCAGAGGAAAGCCGUGCUUUAUGGGGAUGGGCUGGGGGGGAGGUGGGAUCAGACUCCUUCACAUUCUGCCUCAGCGCUGGGGCUGCUCCUUCCAAGGAUGACUCACAGCACAUCCAACAGUCUCCCUUGGAAGUUGAAAGCCUGAAGGGGUUUGAUGCAAUAAAGCAGCAGUCAUCUGAGGAAGGUGGGGGAUGGUGAGGCAGGUAUUAUUAGCUUCUUGGAGCUCAGUGGAAUUUACAGGGUGCUGGCUGCCUGGGCAGAGCUGCCCCAGGGGAGGGUGAGGGGCUGCAUCCAGGUAAGAUGCUUUUAGUUGUAAUUAACAAAUAAGCCAACUUCAUUGGCUUAGAGCUUAAGGAA
rnacentral:lncRNA from 1 species